AACGAACGCUGGCGGCAUGCCUAACACAUGCAAGUCGAACGAGACCACCGGGUCUGGUGGCGCACAGGGGCGGCACGUGUGGGAAGCUUGCCUUAGGCUUGGGAUUAUACUCCGUCGGGGGUGCUAAUGCCGGGAAACGUCCUCGGAUCAAACAUUUGUCGUCUUUGUGUGGGCCCGCGUUGGUUUGGCCUGUUGGUAGGGUAAAAGCCUACCAAGGCGGAGAUCCAUAGCUGGUCUGAGAGGAUGAUCAGCCACACUGGGACUGAGACACGGCCCAGACUCCUACGGGAGGCAGCAGUGGGGAAUAUUGGACAAUGGGCGAAAGCCUGAUCCAGCAAUGCCGCGUGAGUGAUGAAGGCCUUAGGGUUGUAAAGCUCUUUUACCCGGGAUGAUAAUGACAGUACCGGGAGAAUAAGCUCCGGCUAACUCCGUG
rnacentral:rRNA from 1 species